GAUGAACGCUGGCGGCGUGCCUAAUACAUGCAAGUCGAGCGAACAGACGAGGAGCUUGCUCCUCUGACGUUAGCGGCGGACGGGUGAGUAACACGUGGAUAACCGACCUAUAAGACUGGGAUAACUUCGGGAAACCGGAGCUAAUACCGGAUAAUAUAUUGAACCGCAGGGUUCAAUAGUGAAAGACGGUUUUGCUGUCACUUAUAGAUGGAUCCGCGCCGCAUUAGCUAGUUGGUAAGGUAACGGCUUACCAAGGCAACGAUGCGUAGCCGACCUGAGAGGGUGAUCGGCCACACUGGAACUGAGACACGGUCCAGACUCCUACGGGAGGCAGCAGUAGGGAAUCUUCCGCAAUGGGCGAAAGCCUGACGGAGCCACGCCGCGUGAGUGAUGAAGGUCUUCGGAUCGUAAAACUCUGUUAUUAGGGAAGAACAAAUGUGUAAGUAACUAUGCACGUCUUGACGGUACCUACUCAGAAAGCCCCGGCUAACUACGUG
rnacentral:rRNA from 1 species